UACGUAGGGGGCAAGCGUUGUCCGGAAUCAUUGGGCGUAAAGAGCGCGUAGGCGGUCCGGUAAGUCCGCUGUGAAAGUCAAGGGCUCAACCCUUGAAUGCCGGUGGAUACUGUCGGGCUAGAGUCCGGUAGGGGAGCGUGGAAUUCCUGGUGUAGCGGUGAAAUGCGCAGAUAUCAGGAGGAACACCAGCGGCGAAGGUGGCGCUCUGGGCCGGUACUGACACUGAGGAGCGAAAGCGUGGGGAUCAAACAGG
rnacentral:rRNA from 1 species